rnacentral:rRNA from 1 species
CCUACGGGUGGCAGCAGUGAGGAAUAUUGGUCAAUGGGCGCUAGCCUGAACCAGCCAAGUAGCGUGAAGGAUGACUGCCCUAUGGGUUGUAAACUUCUUUUAUAUGGGAAUAAAGUGCAGUAUGUAUACUGCUUUGCAUGUACCUUAUGAAUAAGGAUCGGCUAACUCCGUGCCAGCAGCCGCGGUAAUACGGAGGAUCCGAGCGUUAUCCGGAUUUAUUGGGUUUAAAGGGAGCGUAGGCGGGUUGUUAAGUCAGUUGUGAAAGUUUGCGGCUCAACCGUAAAAUUGCAGUUGAUACUGGCAUCCUUGAGUACAGUAGAGGUAGGCGGAAUUCGUGGUGUAGCGGUGAAAUGCGGAGAUAUAAGGAAGAACACCAGUGGCGAAGGCGGAUGACUGGACGGCAACUGACGGUGAGGCGCGAAAGCGUGGGGAGCAAACAGGAUUAGAUACCCUAGUAGUC